rnacentral:tRNA from 1 species
GUCAUGAUGGCUGAGUGGUUUAAGUCACUAGACUUAAGUUUUGGUCCUCGUGACAGGCAUGGGUUCAAAUCCUUCUUUUGACA